rfam:Otolemur garnettii contig107397, whole genome shotgun sequence.
CCACUUUGGCAGCAGAUAUACUAAAAUUGGAACAAUACAGAGAAGAUCAGCAUAGCCCCUGCACAAGGAUGACACACAAAUUUGUGAAGCCUUCCAUAUUUUU